rnacentral:hammerhead_ribozyme from 1 species
GCACUGGUGAAGAGUCUCACAAUAGGACGAAACGGUAGUCCAGUGC